rnacentral:rRNA from 1 species
UACGGAGGGUGCAAGCGUUAUCCGGAUUCACUGGGUUUAAAGGGUGCGUAGGUGGGCAAGUAAGUCAGUGGUGAAAUCUCCGGGCUUAACCCGGAAACUGCCAUUGAUACUAUUUGUCUUGAGUACUGUGGAGGUCAGCGGAAUAUGUCAUGUAGCGGUGAAAUGCUUGGAUAUGACAUAGAACACCAAUUGCGAAGGCAGCUGGCUACACAAAUAUUGACACUGAGGCACGAAAGCGUGGGGAUCAAACAGG